rnacentral:rRNA from 1 species
AUGUGUUAUAAAUGCCAGAAAAAAUGUGUUCAAGUGCUCGACUCGCUAGGCCCAUACAUGAGCCGCAAGGACCUCACUGAUACGCUAGAAGGACUAGAUUAUUUAUUCAAAUAUGCAUCCAAGCACAUGGAAUUAAAAUCCGAUAAGUGGACUGAACUGGAUGUUACAACAUGGAAAAGAGAAGAAUAUAUUAAGAGCAGUCUUCAGACGGAUGGAACAAAAUUAGCUAUCAUUUUAGUCGACUCGGAAUUCAAUGAUGACGAUAUAAGAAACCGAGACUUGGAUGACGAUGAAACCAACACGGAUCCCACAGAUUGUAUGAUUGUCGAAAGACCUCCUAACAAACCUAAAGCAUCCAACUCAUCGUCACAAGUUGAGCUCAUCUUGCAAUCAUUUAUCCUUUCGCCGUCUGUCACUCCAACAAACGACGACUUAAUAGAUGAACUUUGUUUGUUCAUCAGCAUGGUUGAUGAUGUCCCGAUGCUAGAGAGUGAAUGGGUGAAAAGCUCCUAG